GUCGGGAUGCCGAGGUCUGGGUCCCGAUCCAACAAACUUUGCUGAUAUUCAGGAGGUUGCACAUGAAC
rnacentral:sRNA from 1 species